rnacentral:rRNA from 1 species
UACGUAGGGGGCAAGCGUUGUUCGGAUUUACUGGGCGUAAAGAGCGCGCAGGCGGUCGUUCAAGUCGAGUGUGAAAGCCCCCGGCUCAACUGGGGAGGGUCACUCGAUACUGAUCGACUUGAAGGCAGGAGAGGGAAGCGGAAUUCCCGGUGUAGUGGUGAAAUGCGUAGAUAUCGGGAGGAACACCAGUGGCGAAGGCGGCUUCCUGGCCUGUUCUUGACGCUGAGGCGCGAAAGCUAGGGGAGCAAACGGG